rnacentral:rRNA from 1 species
AGUCACUGACAUUAGAUACCCGUGUAGUCCAGGGUGUAAACGCUGCAGACUUGGUGUUGGGAACCCUUCGGGGGUGCUCAGUGCCGGAGAGAAGUUGUUAAGUCUGCUACUUGGGGAGUACGUCCGCAAGGAUGAAACUUAAAGGAAUUGGCGGGGGAGCACCGCAACGGGAGGAGCGUGCGGUUUAAUUGGAUUCAACGCCGAAAAACUCACCAGCAGCGACUGUUACAUGAAAGUCAGGUUGAUGACCUUACUAGAUUUUUCAG